GAAUGGCCUCCUCCUGCACCUAUUUUCUAUUGGAACUGUGUCCAAGGUGAUUUGUAUAAGGUGGACAAUAAUGACAGUAAUGAUUCAAUGGUGAUUAUGUCACAUGAGGUUUAUCAAGCUAUGAACAAGCUGUCCGACAACAAAGCGAGUGGUUUAGAUCAUAUUUCUGCUGAACAUCUUAAAUAUGCCAGUAUGAGGAUAGCUCUUC